rnacentral:lncRNA from 1 species
CCCUCUAUUUUACCACCAAUGCACUGUAAUUUUACGUUCCGUAAGUUUUGUCUUAUUUCUGACGUAAAAAUAGACCGUAAGAAAUAUAUAAUCGCUGUUACAAAUAUUUUAUGUUAUGUAAAAUUACAAACGUAAAAAGAUUGUGCAAAAUAUACAUAAACUCCAAAUUAUCUUGUCUUAUUACCUAUAUUUUUAUUUUCUUAUACCAAAUUUUACGUAGUGAGUCAAUAGAAAUGUAACUAUUUGAAUUCCAAAUGUAAUUUAAUUAUGAAAGUGGUCGUAAGAUUACCUCGGGUGAAGAAUAACCUAUUCUGCACCCUGUGUGAUGAAUAGCAUCACGACAACACUAUUCUAAUCAUGGUAUUACAAUAGUUAUUCUGAGCACAACACCCUUAUAAGGCCGCGAUCGAGAUGCUCCCGAACUUCCGAACCAGCAAAUAAAAAAAAUAAAAAAGCCCACCCCACCCCCGACCCCAACCACCCCCUCUGCCGGCGGCGCGACUUCCCCAGAUCCUCCGACGGCGCGACCUCCCCAGACCUCCGGUGGCGCGGCCUCCUAGAUCCUCGCCGCCGCGCCCAAGCUUGGGCGCCGACCUAGCAGCCCCGUGCGCCGCCCUGCCACUUCCCUGCACCGCCGCCUACGCACAACCGCCAUCGCGACCCACCUCCCCGCACCGCCACCUUCCCACCACCGCCGCCACCGGGAUCCACGCACCUCCACGCGUCGCCGGUGCCUGUGCUCGUGGGCGUGCCCGCGUUCUUCCCCGUUGACGAGAUCGAGCGAGUGCCUCCGGUUCCUCUGCCAAGUCUCCUCCCCCACGCGAUGUAGGCCUCCCCGAGGCGCCGCGCGCCAGAAACCCACGGCUGUGUCUCCCGCCCUCCGGCUCUUCCUGACUUCCCCCGGCGAGGCUCCACAGCCACCGCACCGCCUCAUCCCGGUGGGGCUCUUCCACCGUGGUGCCUAGGCCAUUCAAUGACAAAGCCCAGGUAAGUGGCGCAAUGUCCCUCGGAUCCCGCUGCAACCAUGCUAUUCUCGCCAGCGCACCAUCCAUGAUGGGUGCCAUUUUCUGUUUCUUCACUACAUAUGUGAAUCCUCUCCUCAAAUGGCCAGUUGAUGUAGACCGCGUCAUCUUAAAGGAAAACCAGUGACAAUCUGUCGAGUGAAACCGGUGCACUGUCAAGCAAACAUACCUGUGCAGCUGACAAUUUGGCCGGCGGCAGCAACAUUUCUUGGCACGUGGGUGUUGGUUUUGGCGGACAAGCAAGUAGCAACAAGCAGCUGCAGGCAAAAGGUACUAGCAUGUGAAAAAAUAAUUCUAGAUCAACAAUGUUUUACAUCCCGACCCCACUUGUUUAUAAUUUGAUGGUAGGCUGUUAGAUUUAGUCGACAGUUGAUGGUGUCAUGUCGUUCCUACUACUGAAUGAACUCUGAAUUUGUAUGGUCAAUGCUAUGAAUUAUUGAAGCGGAUGGACAGGUUUGUAGAAUACUCAACUAGAUGUGUUAGUCUUCAAACAUCAGCAGAGUUCGUUUUCAAACAGCAAUACCAAUGCACAUCUUCUACAAACAAACAAAAAGGGGAAAUAUGCUAGUCUUACUGCUUAUCUACUCUUAAUUUUGAACUAACAAAAAAUUAUUGAUAUGAACUGGCAGGUGUUUGAUUGGCUCCUCUGACUCCCUUCGCCAUGCCACUCACCUCGCGUCGCUGGACCACCACGGUCACAGGCAGAAUCCUUUCGUUCAGUAUCCAGCGCAAGCAAAUCUAAAUCUGCACACGCAAGCCUUCCGUUGCCGAGUCGGCCCUCCUUCUGCUGACUGCUUCUGCAGUAGCAAGUCACGCCACCUGCACCUGUUAUCACCACAAGACGUUCUACUACACCUAUAUGUUCUACUACAACUAAACGCCGGUGGUGGUGAAGUUCUACUAUGGCUAUACGCUACGUUCUACUACAGUUGUAUGUCAGCGACCAUGAAAAUUCUACUACAGAUGUACGCCAAGUUGUACUACAGUUAUACACCAGCCGUCACUGUUGGAAAUAUGCCCUAGAGGCAAUAAUAAAUGGUUAUUAUUAUAUUUCUUUGUUCAUGGUAAUUGUCUAUUGUUCAUGCUAUAAUUGUAUUGUCCGGAAAUCGUAAUACAUGUGUGAAUAC